rnacentral:rRNA from 1 species
CCUACGGGAGGCAGCAGUGAGGAAUAUUGGUCAAUGGGCGCGAGCCUGAACCAGCCAAGUAGCGUGAAGGAUGACUGCCCUACGGGUUGUAAACUUCUUUUAUAAAGGAAUAAAGUGAGGCACGUGUGCCUUUUUGUAUGUACUUUAUGAUUAAGGAUCGGCUAACUCCGUGCCAGCAGACGCGGUAAUACGGAGGAUCCGAGCGUUAUCCGGAUUUAUUGGGUUUAAAGGGAGCGUAGAUGGGUUGUUAAGUCAGUUGUGAAAGUGUGCGGCUCAACCGUAAAAUUGCAAUUGAUACUGGCAGUCUUGAUGACAGUUGAGGUAGGCGGAAUUCGUGGUGUAGCGGUGAAAUGCUUAGAUAUCACGAAGAACUCCGAUUGCGAAGGCAGCUUACUAAACUGCCACUGACAUUGAUGCUCGAAAGUGUGGGUAUCAAACAGGAUUAGAUACCCGGGUAGUC